UCCCCGACAGUCCAGUGGCAAAGACUCUAUACUCCCAAUGCAGGGGGCCUGGGUUUGAUCCCUGGUUGGGGAA
rnacentral:tRNA from 1 species